AUGGUGCUGCAGAAACUCUUAUGCGUCUCAGUUUUCCUGCUGAUAUGCACAUCCAAGGCGAUCAACCCGGAAGCAGAAGCCCUUCUCCGAUGGAAAUCCACUUUGAUUGGCAGCACCAAGUCACUAUCCUCAUGGUCGAUUGCCAACCCUACCUGCUCUUGGUUCGGCAUCACCUGUGAUGCUGCCGGACAUGUCACCGAGCUCCAUCUUCCCAACGCGGGGCUCCAUGGUACGCUUCAUGCCUUCUACUCUCCAGCGUUCCAGAACCUCACCGCGCUCAACCUCAACAGCAACAACCUUGUUGGCCUUGUCCCAGCAAACAUCUCCCUGUUUCUCGUCCUCACCAUUCUGGACUUGAGCUAUAACAAUCUUGUUGGUGCCAUCCCCUACCAACUCAGUCACCUCCCAAAGAUUGUUAGGUUAGAUUUGCGAAAUAACCACUUGACCAACCCAGAAUAUGCCAACUUCUCACCUAUGUCGAGUUUGAAGUUGUUAUCUCUAGCUAAUAAUAAUCUCAGUGGUGCCUUCCCACAAUUCAUCAUCAACUCCACGAAUGUGGGGAUGAGAUCCCUCGAUUUAUCCGGUAACACCUUCUCAGGGCCGUUACCAGCUUCACUGCCAGAGAUGGUCCCAAGGUUGAGGUACUUGAAUCUAUCCGCUAAUGGAUUCUUUGGCUCGAUACCUCGCUCAUUCUCAAGGCUCCAAAAGCUCGAGACACUACGUCUCGAGAAUAAUAAUCUCACAGGAGGAAUCCCAGAGGAGCUGGGGAUGAUGUCUGCACUGCGAUGGCUGAUCCUUUACAACAACCCACUUGGCGGGUCAAUCCCUGCCUCACUCGGGCAGCUCCAUUCCCUCCAGUAUCUCUACAUAAAUGAUGCUGAUUUGGUUUCUACUCUUCCACCUGAGCUGGGGAACCUUACUAGUCUCGAGUACAUGUUCCUGGAAGGGAAUCAUUUAUUUGGAAGCUUGCCACUAUCUUUUGCCAGGGUGCAAACAAUGAUGUAUUUCAGUCUAGGGGACAACAAUAUCAAUGGUACCAUCCCCUCAGAGAUGUUUACGAACUGGACAAACCUUAAGUACUUCAAUGUUGCAAACAACUUGUUAGUUGGAAGCAUCCCAUCGCAGCUCAGGGUGCAAACAAUGGUGUAUUUCAGUGUAGGGGACAACAAUAUCAAUGGUACCAUCCCCUCAGAGAUGUUUACAAACUGGACAAACCUUAAGUACUUCAAUGUUACAAACAACUUGUUAGCUGGAAGCAUCCCAUCGCAGCUCAGCAACUCCGAGGCGUUAUAUCUUCUCAGCCUCUCUGGAAAUAACUUUACUGGCUCGAUCCCGGUGGAGAUGGGAAACAUGGUAAACUUGGAAUUGCUGGAUUUGGCCAAGAAUCACCUUACUGGAACAAUACCACCUACUAUCGGCAAUUUAACAAAGUUGCGCUCACUUGACAUCAGUGACAACCGUCUCGAGGGUGAGCUUCCUAUGGCCAUCUCCUAUCUGAGGAAUCUUCUUGUUCUCUCCUUGUCUGGAAACAAGUUCACUGGUAUCACUCCUAAUGUCCACAGCAGGCAGUCGACGAUUAUUAAUGUGGUCGACAACAACAACAGCGUCUUUGGAGAAUCAUUGUCUGCCUAUUGUAACCUAAUAAUGCUACAAGUCCUGGAUCUAUCAAAGAAUCAAAUAUUUGGAGAUCUCCCUGGUUGCUUGUGGAACUUGGGAGAACUGCAAUCCUUGGAUUUGUCGAGCAAUGCUUUUGGUGGGGAAGUUCCAACCUCGGGUCACUAUAGUUCUGUGCUAAGCUCGCUGCACCUGUCAAACAACAACUUCACGGGUUGCUUUCCAGCAGUGUUGAAGAACUUCAAUAACCUUGUCAUUUUGGAUCUCGGGAAUAAUAAGAUGUCUGGCGCAAUUCCUCCGUGGAUAGGGAAAAGCAAUCCUUUGUUGAGGAUCCUUGGACUGCGAUCAAACAUGUUCAAUGGAAGUAUUCCCUGGCAGCUAUCACAGCUGUCUAAUCUCCAACUGCUUGAUCUAGCUGAAAAUAAUUUUGUAGGUUCCAUACCACAAAAUUUCGCCAACUUUUCCCUGAUGAGACAGACAUCCAUGAUGCCGCCGGUUAUAAUAAUGGACAUAUUAUAUACCCAGCAUGAUGAUUUUUAUGGCCACAUGGAUAUAGUUUGGAAGGGACGGGAGUACACCUUUCAAGGAAGAGAUGCAUUUGUAACUGGUAUUGACCUCUCUGGCAAUUCUCUCUCUGGUGAAAUCCCUUCAGAGUUGACAAGUCUUAGAGGCAUCCAGUUACUAAAUAUGUCAGGAAACUAUCUUUCUGGUGGUAUCCCCAAGGACAUUGGCAAUUUGAAGUGGUUAGAAUCCCUUGACCUCUCGUGGGACAAGCUAUCCGGUCCUAUUCCUCCUAGCAUAUCAAACCUGGUAUUCCUCUGCUGUCUUAAUCUCUCGAACAACCUUUUAUCAGGAGAGAUACCUACAGGCAAUCAACUCCAAACAUUGGAUGACCCAUCAAUUUAUAGCAAUAACCUGGGACUUUGUGGCUCUCUGUUGAACAUUUCGUGUAAAAAUAGUUCAAGUCUGACGACCACUUCAGAUCAAGAUCUUGAAGCCAUUUGGAUGUACUACUCAGUGAUUGCUGGAACAGUUUCUGGUUUGUGGCUAUGGUUUGGUACACUGUUUUUAUGGAAGAUUUGGAGAUGUGCUUUCUUGAGUUGCAUAGAUGCCAUGCAGCAGAGAGUUAUGAACAAGAUGAAGCAUACCUGGGAGUAUAGGAAGCUGUCCAAGUAUUGA
rnacentral:rRNA from 1 species